rnacentral:rRNA from 1 species
UACCAGCACCCCGAGUGGUCGGGACGAUUAUUGGGCCUAAAGCAUCCGUAGCCGGUCCUGCAAGUCUUCCGUUAAAUCCAGCUGCUCAACAGAUGGGCUGCGGGGGAUACUACAUGGCUAGGAGGCGGGAGAGGCAAGCGGUACUCUAUGGGUAGGGGUAAAAUCCGUUGAUCCAUAGAAGAGCACCAGUGGCGAAGGCGGCUUGCCAGAACGCGCUCGACGGUGAGGGAUGAAAGCUGGGGGGGCAAACCGG